GAUGAACGCUGGCGGCGUGCUUAACACAUGCCAGUCGAACGGAAAGGCCCAAGCUUGCUUGGGUGCUCGAGUGGCGAAAGUGUGAGUAACACGUGGUUCAUCUGCCCUUCACUUCGGUAUAAGCCUUGGAAACUGGUUCUAAUACCGGAUCGGUUCACUCCUGGGAUGUUGUGGUGGAAAGUUUUUUCGGUGUGGGGUGAGCUCGCGGCCUAUCAGCUUGUUGGUGGGGUAAUGGCCUACCAAGGCGUCGACGGGUAGCCGGCCUGAGAGGGUGUACGGCCACAAUGGGACUGGGAUACGGCCCAGAAUCCUACGGGGGGCAGCAGGGGGGAAGAUUGCACAAGGGGCGCAAGCCUGAUGCAGCGAAGCCGGGGGGGGGAUGACGGCCUUCGGGGUGUAAACUCCGUUCGAGAGGGACGAAGCGUUUUGUGACGGUACCUGGAGAAGAAGCACCGGCUAACUACGUG
rnacentral:rRNA from 1 species